UACGAAGGGGGCUAGCGUUGUUCGGAAUUACUGGGCGUAAAGCGCGCGCAGGCGGUCUUCCAAGUCGGGGGUGAAAGCCCGAGGCUCAACCUCGGAACUGCCUUCGAUACUGCGGGUCUCGAGUCCGGGAGAGGUGAGUGGAAUUCCUAGUGUAGAGGUGAAAUUCGUAGAUAUCAGGAGGAACACCAGUGGCGAAGGCGGCUUUCUGGACGGUAACUGACGCUGAGACGGCGAAAAGCGUGGGGAGCCAAACAGGG
rnacentral:rRNA from 1 species